AUUGAGUAUAGUUGUGGGAUUAUAUAUCCAACGUUUAAUCGUCCGUCUUAUUUGAAUUUUUUUUUAUGAUUAGUAUUUUUAUUGUUAUUAGAUGAUAAAACUUGAAUAGUACUUUAUGCGUGACUUUUUUUUUUAUUUUUCAUAAACUUUUCAAAUAAGACAGGCGUUAGACACGAAAAUCCUACUGGACUUAAA
rnacentral:pre_miRNA from 1 species